UUAAACCAUAUCACCCUGCUGCCCAAGAAUCAUUAAGCUAAGCAGGGCUGAGCCUGGUCAGUACCUAGAUGGGAGACCACAUGGGAAAGCUAGGUUGCUGUUGGAA
rnacentral:rRNA from 1 species